rnacentral:lncRNA from 1 species
AUGCCUUCAUUUUUCAUCAGCUCCUAUAGAAACACAUUCUUGAUACAUGUCUAUGUGAAGGUUCAGCCUUUCUCAACUUCUGAUGAGAAAAAGCAAUGGGAAAUUUUAAGUUAUUUGGCAAUUUACUUGCAGGAUGAUCCAUUACGUGUGUAUGUGCUGGUGAUCCUGGUAACUCAGCAAGGAAAUACAAAGUUAGCAGUUUUUGUUUCUUGCCAGAUGUGAAAUGUAAAAGGCAGACAGGGCACCAACGUCACUUUUGCCUGAGAGCUCCCCUAAAUUGUCUCUCCUCACAUGCUUUGGUGUGGGUAACAGGACAAACCAGAGGACAGUGAGAGGUCAGGCCCCUUGGUAAGUAGCCGGAUUUUUCAUUAGUUGAACUCUGGGUGAUCUUCAGAGUUGUAAAAUGGAGUGUGAUUGCAGCAAAUUAGCAGGGAAAUGUUGACAAGGGCGACUGGGUGUUUUGGACACUGGCGGAGCUGAGGCUGCAUAGUGCAGCUGUAAAAGUACACAGAAAUCUUCCCUGGUUUUAAUGGCAAGGCCUAAUUGAUUUUGAGGGACUUGGUUUUAGAUGUUUUGACAAGGAACAGAUUUAAUUGUUCUACAAAAGCUUUGGCAUAGCCAAAUGAAGACAGUUAAAUUUUAUUAAUUAAUUGCACAAUUCUGCAUUGUAUCUGAUUUUGAAACAUUCCAAGAGUCUUAAGCCUGGUGAUGAGAUUGUAUCCUCACAUGGAAUAUUGAACACCCCCUGCAUCACAUUUUAGACUCAAGUUCUCAGUGAUGGGAUGUAUCAUUCAGUUUAAAUCAGUGCUUUGUGAACUACUGUGGAGGGAAGAGAAUGAAUUUUUUUGAUAGGUAGCAUGUAUUUUUGAGAGUGCCCUCUGAUCUUUUUCAUUGAUGCACAGUUCAAUUUUUUCUAAUGGUUUUAAUUUCAUGUAGCUUGCCUUUCAAGUGCUAGAAUACUGAACCUCUGAGACCUCUGAGAAAAGUGUAGGAGUGAAUUUCUUGAUUGCAAUUCCUUGUAGUCUCUUUUCAGAUGGGUUUUUGUUAUCUGACAAUUCUUAAAAUUUGUGAUGAGAGGUUUGUUUCAGAGAUAAUUAGGGAGUGUGGAGGUCUAGUUCAAUUAAUGUUGGUAGAAUUUGGCAUGAAAGCCUUCUAAACAGCUUAGGAAAUCUCAGCCUAACAAUUCCUGUUCAUUCCAGAAAUGUUGGAAAACAUUAAAUGUGAUCUGAUUUUAGUAAUGCUGGAAAAUGGGAGCUAUAAGGGCUGAUGUUUGAGGAAUCCUUCCUUUUUCCCCCACAGGGCAUUGUGGACCACUGUGUAACAGGAAUGGUUCUCUCAGAACUGACUCAGGAAAUGGAUCUGGUAGGCAUGGUUUGUUUUUUCCUUCUGCAAGGGAUGCUGGUAAAGCCUUUUGUGAGAAAUAUUUCUUAGUCAUGAAAGGAUUAGAGCGCCUUUCUCCUCUGACAAAAAGACACAGGAAACUCAGUGCAGGGGCUCGUCCAGUACCACACACUUCAGUUCUGUCAUCUUGGUCACCAGAACUCGUAAAGCAAAGUGAACAACAAGUGGUAUUUAUGCUUAUGGCUUUCUUUUGCCUACUUCUUAAUCUCAGGAAGUUCUCAGGUCUGUCCAUCCAGAAAGAGGAACAACCCUGAAGGAAAGAAAUGAAGCAAGUCAGGAACCUGAUGAGACCUGCAUUUAGUGCUAGGCCAUAAUUUUAAUUUCUGCUGUCAAAUAAUUAAUCUGCCAAAUAUCCAUCUAGUUUUAGCAGGGAAGGAACACUGUUUAUUCUGUCCUUACUUUUCUUAGGUUGAUUAUUCAAGACCUUCAGCAAAGCCUUGUAAAAGAGUUUCCUCAUUUCGUGACACCUCUCUGAAGGACAUUCUGCUGCUUGUGUGCUCUUUUGAAGGAGGUGAGGCUUUUCAUUAUUGAACCUAAAUUGCUUGAAUAAUUGUCCCUUAAUUUUUUCUGACUUGAUGAAUUCUGUGCUUAAACGGAUUACAUGCUACUCAGUUAAGCUCCAGUGACUAAAAAAGGUUCAGACAAAAAUUCCAGUCUUCUUUCGUCCACGUCUCUCUUGCUGUCUCUCCACCUCUGCCAUCUCUCUGUCUUGCCAAGAAGGUUGGACUGCCUAAAUUCUGAGCUUGUCUUCUUUUUUCAUGUUUUUCUUAAUUUAAUUGUAUCUCAGUUUUGCUGGGCUCUACCAUCUCAGUAUUUGCUAAAAGAAUUGUUUUAUUGAGCUAAGAGUGACCAAGAGGAAAGACAAAUUCUUGUGGUAAGGAUGCAUCGUCAAAUCAGGACAAGGUGUUUUUCUCCUUGAGUAUUUCCCUCAUCCUCUCUGUAACAUUUUGGGGUAAUUAAGUCUGUCAUCUCCCCAGAGUAUUGGCAGGAGGGGGUGAAGGGCUUUCAUUUGUAUGUUCCACAAGUGUAAAUUUCAUUACUUGUGAAUUCUGGUUGCUGUUUUCUGCAGUACUUCCUUUACAUUAAUUAUUGCGGGUGAAGAAGUGCAGAGGAGCUGCUGGUCAACAAAUGGAAAUUAAGCCUUGUUUUUAGACUAGAGCUUGGAAUAAAAAAGAAGGCUCUAUAUUUUAAAAUGUGCA